rnacentral:rRNA from 1 species
UGCGUAGGCGGUACCUUAAGUUAGAUGUGAAAUACCCGGGCUUAACUUGGGACGUGCAUCUAAUACUGGGGAACUAGAGUGCAGGAGAGGGAAGCGGAAUUCCUAGUGUAGCGGUGAAAUGCGUAGAUAUUAGGAGGAACACCAGUGGCGAAGGCGGCUUUCUGGACUGUAACUGACGCUGAGGCACGAAAGCGUGGGGAGCAAACA